rnacentral:rRNA from 1 species
GAUGAACGCUGGCGGCGUGCCUAAUACAUGCAAGUCGAGCGAACGGACGAGAAGCUUGCUUUUCUGAUGUUAGCGGCGGACGGGUGAGUAACACGUGGAUAACCUACCUAUAAGACUGGGAUAACUUCGGGAAACCGGAGCUAAUACCGGAUAAUAUUUUGAACCGCAUGGUUCAAAAGUGAAAGACGGUCUUGCCGUCACUUAUAGAUGGAUCCGCGCUGCAUUAGCUAGUUGGUAAGGUAACGGCUUACCAAGGCAACGAUGCAUAGCCGACCUGAGGGGGUGAUCGGCCACACUGGAACUGAGACACGGUCCAGACUCCUACGGGAGGCAGCAGUAGGGAAUCUUCCGCAAUGGGCGAAAGCCUGACGGAGCAACGCCGCGUGAGUGAUGAAGGUCUUCGGAUCGUAAAACUCUGUUAUUAGGGAAGAACAUAUGUGUAAGUAACUGUGCACAUCUUGACGGUACCUAAUCAGAAAGCCACGGCUAACUACGUG